UCAGAGUUUGAUCCUGGCUCAGUGUGAAAAACUCCGGUGGUAUAAGAUGGACCCGCGUUGGAUUAGCUAGUUGGUGGGGUAACGGCCCACCAAGGCGACGAUCCAUAGCCGGCCUGAGAGGGUGAACGGCCACAUUGGGACUGAGACACGGCCCAGACUCCUACGGGAGGCAGCAUG
rnacentral:rRNA from 1 species